rnacentral:rRNA from 1 species
CACGCGACGUGUAAGGUUUAUCGUCUGAAGAUGAGGUCGCGUCCGAUUAACUAGUUGGUGAGGUAAAAGCUCACCAAGGCGACGAUCGGUAGCUGGUCUGAGAGGAUGACCAGCCACACUGGGACUGAGACACGGCCCAGACUCCUACGGGAGGCAGCAGUGGGGAAUUUUCCGCAAUGGGCGCAAGCCUGACGGAGCAAGACCGCGUGAGGGAGGAAGGCCCAAGCGGUUGUAAACCUCUUUUCUCAGGGAAGAAGAAAGUGACGGUACCUGAGGAAUCAGCCUCGGCUAACUCCGUGCCAGCAGCCGCGGUAAUACGGAGGAGGCAAGCGUUAUCCGGAAUUAUUGGGCGUAAAGCGUCCGUAGGUGGUUAUGUAAGUCUGCUGUCAAAGCACAGGGCUUAACCCUGUAAAGGCAGUGGAAACUACAAGACUCGAGUGCGGUAGGGGCAGAGGGAAUUCCCAGUGUAGCGGUGAAAUGCGUAGAGAUUGGGAA